UACGAAGGGGGCUAGCGUUGCUCGGAAUUACUGGGCGUAAAAGGGCGCGUAGGCGGAUAGUUUAGUCAGAGGUAAAAGCCCAGGGCUCAACCUUGGAACUGCCUUUGAUACUGGCUAUCUUGAGUUCGGGAGAGGUGAGUGGAAUGCCGAGUGUAGAGGUGAAAUUCGUAGAUAUUCGGCGGAACACCAGUGGCGAAGGCGACUCACUGGCCCGAUACUGACGCUGAGGCGCGAAAGCGUGGGGAGCAAACAGG
rnacentral:rRNA from 1 species